rnacentral:rRNA from 1 species
UGAGUACGAGAUGCUACGGCAUCGAAGCAGUCUAUGUCAUACUUCCAAGAAAAGCUUGCACUGUCAUAAACAAAUAAUGCCUGUACCAUAACCGACACAGGUGGGUAGGUAGAGUAUACUAAGGGGCGCGAGAUAACUCUCUCUAAGGAACUCGGCAAAAUGACUCCGUAACUUCGGGAGAAGGAGUGCCUUAUUUUAUAAGGUUGCAAUAACAAGAUCCAAGCAACUGUUUAUCAAAAACACAGGUCUCCGCUAAGUCGUAAGACGAUGUAUGGGGGCUGACGCCUGCCCAGUGCCAGAAGGUUAAAGAAGUUGGUUAGCAUUAGCGAAGCUGAUAACUGAAGCCCUGGUGAACGGCGGCCGUAACAAUAACGGUCCUAAGGUAGCGAAAUUCCUUGUCGGGUAAGUUCCGACCCGCACGAAAGGCGUAAUGAUUUGGAUACUGUCUCGGAGAGGGGCUCGGUGAAAUAGACUUGUCUGUGAAGAUGCGGACUACCUGCACCUGGACAGAAAGACCCUAUGAAGCUUUACUGUAACUUGAGAUUGAAAUUGGACUUUAUUUGCGCAGUAUAGGUGGGAGACGUUGAAAAUAUUCUUGCGGGAAUAUUGGAGUCAUCAGUGAGAUACCACUCUUAUAAUGUUAGAUUUCUAACUUUGUAUCAUUAUCUGGUCAAAGAACAGUCUCAGGCGGGCAGUUUGACUGGGGCGGUCGCCUCCCAAACGGUAACGGAGGCGCACAAAGGUUUCCUCUGAACGUGUAGAAAUCGUAUCUAGAGUGUAAAGGCAUAAGGAAGCUUGACUGUGAGACCUACAAGUCGAGCAGGGACGAAAGUCGGUCUUAGUGAUCUGACGGUGCUGAGUGGAAAGGCCGUCACUCAACGGAUAAAAGUUACUCUAAGGAUAACAGGCUGAUCUCCCCCAAGAGUUCACAUCGACGGGGAGGUUUGGCACCUCGAUGUCGGCUCAUCGCAUCCUGGGGCGGUAGUACGUCCCAAGGGUUGGGCUGUUCGCCCAUGAAAGCGGUACGCGAGCUGGGUUCAGAACGUCGUGAGACAGUUCGGUCCAUAUCCGGUGUAGGCGUUAGAAUAUUGAGAGGAGCCUUCUUUAGUACGAGAGGACCGAGAAGGACAUACCUCUGGUGUACCAGUUAUCGUGCCAACGGUAAACGCUGGGUAGCUAUGUAUGGAGAGGAUAGCCGCUGAAAGCAUCUAAGUGGGAAGCCCACCUCAAGAUAAGUAUCC